UGGGAGAAGACGCCUCUACAGGGGCUCGUGCGGAUUCUGCUACCGCCACCAAUAUGUCGUGAGUCGUUCAGUGAGCACGCUUUGGAAUGGCUUCAUAAGAUGGCGCGUGAGUGAGGUUCAAGAUAUAAACUUACUGUAAUAGAAUGAAAAAGAGCUCAAAACAUUAACCAGUUUGAAAUGUACUAAAAGGACUAUUUCUGGUAAGUUGUCAUCUAACUAGUUUUUCUAUUUAUUUGUUUAUUGCUGUAGUUUGGAUCAGUGCGUUUGAAAAGGAUCGGUUCCCGCUUUGAGGGAUUGAAAUUGAGGUUAUUUAUACAUUCGGUUGUGAAGAAAAUAAUUUAAUAAUAAUUUUUAAUAGGAGAAUUAAUUUAUUUAAACACUUGACAAGUUUUUAUUUAUUAUUUAUCAUUAAAAGGACUGCGAGGAUUGUAAUAAGUUGUAUAAUAAGUAAUAAUAGUUGUUGCUUCUUCAGUGUCUUCUCAGUUGCUGCCAAGAAGGGGAGAAUGACGUUAAUUAUGAAGGAGGAAGUAAACAGGUGUGCUAGACGUCAUAAAGGGGAGAUAUUUUUUAAACGAAACUUGUUUUUAGGUCUUGUUAAAUACCAAUAUAUGAGGCCAGAAAUGAAAAACUUCUUACCUGAUAUUUCUUUUCUUAAUUUCGCAGAAAUCCUAGCACUAUAGGUGCUUAAGAAAAAAAAAAAAAAAAAAAAAAAAAAAA